CCACAAUAUGGCCUCGCCCCCGGUGCGGGGAGAUACAACAGAGACAGCCUCAACAUCUAUACGAUCAAUGCGAGGGGCCUCAACUCCCCAAACAAACGGGCCAGAGCGCUGCGAGAGAUCAAAGCACUGGGGGGUAUCGAUAGCCUUUUUCCAAGAAACCCACUUCCACGCACGCCAGGCUCCAAAGUUCUCCAACAAAUACUACCCUACCGGCCACUUUGCACACAAUCCCUCGACUAA